GCCAUGAGGUAGUGGUUUGAGCACUGGACUAAGACUCUGGAGACCAGGGUUCAAAUCCCUGCUGGAA